UCCAGACUCCUACGGGAGGCAGCAGUGGGGAAUAUUGCACAAUGGGGGAAACCCUGAUGCAGCGACGCCGCGUGAGUGAAGAAGUAAUUCGUUAUGUAAAGCUCUAUCAGCAGGGAAGAAAAUGACGGUACCUGAGUAAGAAGCCCCGGCUAACUACGUGCCAGCAGCCGCGGUAAUACGUAAGGGGCAAGCGUUAUCCGGAUUUACUGGGUGUAAAGGGAGCGUAGACGGCUGUGCAAGUCUGAAGUGAAAGCCCAGGGCUCAACCCUGGGACUGCUUUGGAAACUGUGGAGCUAGAGUGCUGGAGAGGUAAGUGGAAUUCCUAGUGUAGCGGUGAAAUGCGUAGAUAUUAGGAGGAACACCAGUGGCGAAGGCGGCUUACUGGACAGUAACUGACGUUGAGGCUCGAAAGCGUGGGGAGCAAACAGGAUUAGAUACCCGCGUAA
rnacentral:rRNA from 1 species